GAUGAACGCUGGCGGCGUGCUUAACACAUGCCAGUCGAACGGAAAGGCCAGUGCUUGCACUGGUACUCGAGUGGCGAACGGGUGAGUAACACGUGGGUGAUCUGCCCUGCACUUCGGGAUAAGCCUGGGAAACUGGGUCUAAUACCGGAUAGGACAAUGGUUUGGAUGCCGUUGUGGAAAGUUUUUUCGGUGUGGGAUGAGCUCGCGGCCUAUCAGCUUGUUGGUGGGGUAAUGGCCUACCAAGGCGUCGACGGGUAGCCGGCCUGAGAGGGUGUACGGCCACAUUGGGACUGAGAUACGGCCCAGACUCCUACGGGAGGCAGCAGUGGGGAAUAUUGCACAAUGGGCGCAAGCCUGAUGCAGCGACGCCGCGUGGGGGAUGACCGCCUUCGGGUUGUAAACUCCUUUCGCUAGGGACGAAGCGUAUUUGUGACGGUACCUGGAGAAGAAGCACCGGCUAACUACGUG
rnacentral:rRNA from 1 species